GGUGGCUCAGUGGUAGAGUGCUUGCCUCAUAUGCAUGAGGACCUGGGUUCGAUUUCUUAGCACCA
rnacentral:tRNA from 1 species